UCCUCGGCAGAUGGGAGCAGACACAGAGCCACAAUGAAACACAGAGAGCCACAAUGUCUCUGCCAGACAUUAGGCAGAGAGUGAGGAAGCUGGGAACACUCAGCUCUAAAACAGAUUCUUUCAUCUAAUUCCUUUUCUCAGGACUCCAGGAACUCUGCAGAAGGGGAGACAGAAAGAAUGCACGAGCCAGAGGAGAUGGAGGACACCACAGAACCAAGGCCUACCAGGCCUAAUAGGGCUAGUGAAGAAACAAGCGCACAGAGACUAUGGCAGCUGCACGGGGCAUGCACGGGGCUGUACCAGGUGAGAGAAGGAUAGACACUCCCAUCCCUAACCCAGAAGCUAUCUCCAAUCAACAGCCACUUGCAAAUGGAAAAUUUGGUUUUUUCAAGGAAGUCUCACUAAGGAAACCAACUACCAUUAAGUGACCCACACUGAAGCUGUGCCAGCAGUCAGUUCACAGUGGUACACAGUUCCAGCACUGAGGGGCUGAGUGGGGCCCAAGCAGAACAAGCUUGAGUCUAUACAGCAAGUUGUGAUCUUCCUUGGGCUGCAUAGAGAACGUCUGUCUCACAAAACAAAACACAAACGUAAAGAGACCAGAGUGGUCCUCACAACUAAUAGGAGAGAAGGAAGUUUUCCUUUACGAGCUUCGGUUUUUUACAUCAUUCCUCAUCAGGAGGUCAAAAGGAACAAUUAUAAAGUGUGCCCAUUGACAAAUCCCUUCUCUGAUCCCAAGGACCGAGUUUGCUUCUCCUCAAGCCUCCUUUAUUAAAUGUACCUCGGCAGAAGUGCCUGCAUAAACUUCUCAAAACACCACACCCUUUAAAUUGAUGGCUUCCUGGAGCCAGUGGCUCAACCCUGUGCUGUUUUGCAUAAGACUACAAGAGCUCUUCUAUUAAAAGACAGACUUUGGCUAGCUUCCGUACCCAUAGAACACCAUUUACCUGCCUGAGAUGUUGCAUAGACUGGGAAAGGAACAGAAUUUUUUUAAAAAUAAACUAUUGUGCUCUUCCUUUAUUUCAAAGACACAUACCACCAUCACUUGCUGUGCAUCAGAAUGAGCAGAAUUCAGACUCAUCGCUUCGUAUCUAAUAGACAUCUCAAACCUGGCAUGCUUUGAACCAAGUUUUUAUCUUUACCUAAACCUGUUCCUCCCAACUGCCUUUCCCAAACCAAUUAAUAGGAGUUACCCAUGGUGGUUGCUUGCACCAACACCCUUGAUGCCUUGUUACCCUUGACUCCUUUCUCUCUCUUUCA